AUUGAACGCUGGCGGCAUGCCUAACACAUGCAAGUCGAGCGGUAAAAGGGCUCUUGCUGCUGACUUGAGCGGCGGACGGGUGUGUUACGCCUAGGAAUCUGCGUGGGAGUGGGGUAUCACGUCCGAAAAUGUGCUCUAAUACCAUACACUUUACGGAUGAGAGCGGGGGGGAUCUUCGGACCUCACGCUCUGAGCUGCGCCUAGGUCAGAUUAGCUAGUUGGUGGGGUAAAGGCUUACCAAGGCGACGAUCCGUAGCUGGUCUGAGAGGAUGAUCAGUCACACUGGAACUGAGACACGGUCCAGACUCCUACGGGAGGCAGCAGUGGGGAAUAUUGGACAAUGGGCGAAAGCCUGAUCCAGCCAUGCCGCGUGUGUGAUGAAGGUCUUCGGAUUGUAAAGCGCUUUAAGUCGGGAGGAAGAGCAGUAAGUUAAUACAUUGCUGUUAUGACGGUACCGACAGAAUAAGCACCGGCUAACUACGUG
rnacentral:rRNA from 1 species